rnacentral:rRNA from 1 species
CAGCCGCCACGGUAAUACGAAGGGGGCUAGCGUUGUUCGAAUUUACUGGGCGUAAAGGGCGCGUAGGCGGGCGAAUAAGUCAGGGGUGAAAUCCCAAGGCUCAACCUUGGAACUGCCUUUGAUACUGGAAGUCUUGAGUAUGGUAGAGGUGAGUGGAAUUCCGAGUGUAGAGGUGAAAUUCGUAGAUAUUCGGAGGAACACCAGUGGCGAAGGCGGCUCACUGGACCAUUACUGACGCUGAGGUGCGAAACCGUGGGGAGCAAACAGGAUUAGAUACCCCGGUAGUCCCUGUCUCUUAUAA